AUUGAACGCUGGCGGAAUGCUUUACACAUGCAAGUCGAGCGGCAGCGCGGGGGCAACCCUGGCGGCGAGCGGCGAACGGGUGAGUAAUACAUCGGAACGUGUCCUUAAGUGGGGGAUAGCUCGGCGAAAGCCGGAUUAAUACCGCAUAAGCUCUGAGGAGGAAAGCGGGGGCUCCGUAAGGACCUCGCGCUGUUGGAGCGGCCGAUGUCGGAUUAGCUAGUUGGUGGGGUAAAGGCCCACCAAGGCGACGAUCCGUAGCUGGUCUGAGAGGAUGAUCAGCCACACUGGAACUGAGACACGGUCCAGACUCCUACGGGAGGCAGCAGU
rnacentral:rRNA from 1 species